CAAGUGUGAAGGAGCUUUGGAAUCUGGAGUCAAGGCUUCAAAAUCUGUUUGGAUUGGGGAAGCAAUUCACAGGAAAUGGAAGCGGCUCUUCAACAUUUGCUUAAAACCCAAAUGAUCUCGGAGAUAGCAGACAGCAAAAGCAUCCUGGGCUUGGCUGCUUCACCAUCCCAAAAGCAUUGAUUCAUCAAAAGAACCUUCUAUUUAAAGACAAGGGGGAAAAGAAUCAACCCAGUGAUUAGUUGGAGAAACCAUAACGUGGUUAAAUCCAAGAAAUUCUCCAGCAAGGUAAAAGAAGACUUUGAUGCUGCAGUUUAGAUUGAGAUUCAG
rnacentral:lncRNA from 12 species